GUUUGCAUAUGCAAAAUGAUAAAAGUAGCAUUUUUAUUUAUUCUGAUAUGACGGUAUUCUUGUUUGACAGGCGUGACAGUGCAACUUUCCCAUGUAGUACCAAUGCCCAUAAUAUCUUUAUCUACAUUAUUUCUUGCAAUUUCACAAAAUCUCAAAUUCAACAGCUAUACAGUUUAAUCUUAUCCCAAAUUUCAUGCUAUCCACAUAAAAUAUUAAUUUGUAUCAAAGUUCCCACACAAGACUGGUCAACUUUUUGGCCAGAUAUUCUAUCUCAGCGAUUGGACCUUUUCUUUAUCCCUUUGAAAACCCAUGAUUCUAAGCCACUUCCAUCAUUCUUCUCAGGAUUUGUCUUGCUAUUUGCUAAGCCGUUUUUGAACCAACUUGCCAACCCAACCUGGCAUCUCACCAGCCCCGCCAAAACAA
rnacentral:misc_RNA from 1 species